rnacentral:sRNA from 1 species
UGACAUGUCUGUCGGUCUUGUCUGAGUCCCAAUGCAAACUGAUGUCUCACUGUGACUCAGAGUUUUAUCCGAAUUGCACCUGUUCUACAUGUUUACCACAUUUUUUAUGGUGCUUUCUGCCAGUAUAAGAACCUAAUGUCUCCCGAGGAAUCACUGGUGGAAGUGCAUGACGCAAGAGAAAUGGGUCAGCUCUGCGAUGAGAAUCUCUCUACCUGUGACGAUGUCCCAUUGCACGAACAGCUAAAUAUCACAUUUAUUAAGCCAUUGGUAUUCAUAUACAUCCGGAUUGUAGCAAAUGAAUCUAUGGGGCGCAAUAUGUCCAUAAUAUUGGUUGCUUCAUCGAACACCCUGCAAGAAUGUUAUAUGACCAAUUCUCACGUUGUAGACAAGAACACCACAGAUAUCUACUGCAACAUCACCAGCACCAUUAGUAAGAUCCUCCUCACGUUCGACAAAGCGUACCGAAUCUGUGAGAUAUUCGUGAAU